CACACUAUCAUUAACUGAAUCCAUAGGUUAAUGAGGCGAACCGGGGGAACUGAAACAUCUAAGUACCCCGAGGAAAAGAAAUCAACCGAGAUUCCCCCAGUAGCGGCGAGCGAACGGGGAGCAGCCCAGAGCCUGAAUCAGUGUGUGUGUUAGUGGAAGCGUCUGGAAAGGCGCGCGAUACAGGGUGACAGCCCCGUACACAAAAAUGCACAUACUGUGAGCUCGAUGAGUAGGGCGGGACACGUGGUAUCCUGUCUGAAUAUGGGGGGACCAUCCUCCAAGGCUAAAUACUCCUGACUGACCGAUAGUGAACCAGUACCGUGAGGGAAAGGCGAAAAGAACCCCGGCGAGGGGAGUGAAAAAGAACCUGAAACCGUGUACGUACAAGCAGUGGGAGCCUCUUAAUGGGGUGACUGCGUACCUUUUGUAUAAUGGGUCAGCGACUUAUAUUCUGUAGCAAGGUUAACCGAAUAGGGGAGCCGAAGGGAAACCGAGUCUUAACUGGGCGUUAAGUUGCAGGGUAUAGACCCGAAACCCGGUGAUCUAGCCAUGGGCAGGUUGAAGGUUGGGUAACACUAACUGGAGGACCGAACCGACUAAUGUUGAAAAAUUAGCGGAUGACUUGUGGCUGGGGGUGAAAGGCCAAUCAAACCGGGAGAUAGCUGGUUCUCCCCGAAAGCUAUUUAGGUAGCGCCUCGUGAAUUCAUCUCCGGGGGUAGAGCACUGUUUCGGCAAGGGGGUCAUCCCGACUUACCAACCCGAUGCAAACUGCGAAUACCGGAGAAUGUUAUCACGGGAGACACACGGCGGGUGCUAACGUCCGUCGUGAAGAGGGAAACAACCCAGACCGCCAGCUAAGGUCCCAAAGUCAUGGUUAAGUGGGAAACGAUGUGGGAAGGCCCAGACAGCCAGGAUGUUGGCUUAGAAGCAGCCAUCAUUUAAAGAAAGCGUAAUAGCUCACUGGUCGAGUCGGCCUGCGCGGAAGAUGUAACGGGGCUAAACCAUGCACCGAAGCUGCGGCAGCGACACUAUGUGUUGUUGGGUAGGGGAGCGUUCUGUAAGCCUGUGAAGGUGUACUGUGAGGUAUGCUGGAGGUAUCAGAAGUGCGAAUGCUGACAUAAGUAACGAUAAAGCGGGUGAAAAGCCCGCUCGCCGGAAGACCAAGGGUUCCUGUCCAACGUUAAUCGGGGCAGGGUGAGUCGACCCCUAAGGCGAGGCCGAAAGGCGUAGUCGAUGGGAAACAGGUUAAUAUUCCUGUACUUGGUGUUACUGCGAAGGGGGGACGGAGAAGGCUAUGUUGGCCGGGCGACGGUUGUCCCGGUUUAAGCGUGUAGGCUGGUUUUCCAGGCAAAUCCGGAAAACUAAGGCUGAGGCGUGAUGACGAGGCACUACGGUGCUGAAGCAACAAAUGCCCUGCUUCCAGGAAAAGCCUCUAAGCAUCAGGUAACAUCAAAUCGUACCCCAAACCGACACAGGUGGUCAGGUAGAGAAUACCAAGGCGCUUGAGAGAACUCGGGUGAAGGAACUAGGCAAAAUGGUGCCGUAACUUCGGGAGAAGGCACGCUGAUAUGUAGGUGAAGUCCCUCGCGGAUGGAGCUGAAAUCAGUCGAAGAUACCAGCUGGCUGCAACUGUUUAUUAAAAACACAGCACUGUGCAAACACGAAAGUGGACGUAUACGGUGUGACGCCUGCCCGGUGCCGGAAGGUUAAUUGAUGGGGUUAGCGGUAACGCGAAGCUCUUGAUCGAAGCCCCGGUAAACGGCGGCCGUAACUAUAACGGUCCUAAGGUAGCGAAAUUCCUUGUCGGGUAAGUUCCGACCUGCACGAAUGGCGUAAUGAUGGCCAGGCUGUCUCCACCCGAGACUCAGUGAAAUUGAACUCGCUGUGAAGAUGCAGUGUACCCGCGGCAAGACGGAAAGACCCCGUGAACCUUUACUAUAGCUUGACACUGAACAUUGAGCCUUGAUGUGUAGGAUAGGUGGGAGGCUUUGAAGUGUGGACGCCAGUCUGCAUGGAGCCGGCCUUGAAAUACCACCCUUUAAUGUUUGAUGUUCUAACGUUGGCCCCUGAUCGGGGUUGCGGACAGUGUCUGGUGGGUAGUUUGACUGGGGCGGUCUCCUCCUAAAGAGUAACGGAGGAGCACGAAGGUUGGCUAAUCCUGGUCGGACAUCAGGAGGUUAGUGCAAUGGCAUAAGCCAGCUUGACUGCGAGCGUGACGGCGCGAGCAGGUGCGAAAGCAGGUCAUAGUGAUCCGGUGGUUCUGAAUGGAAGGGCCAUCGCUCAACGGAUAAAAGGUACUCCGGGGAUAACAGGCUGAUACCGCCCAAGAGUUCAUAUCGACGGCGGUGUUUGGCACCUCGAUGUCGGCUCAUCACAUCCUGGGGCUGAAGUAGGUCCCAAGGGUAUGGCUGUUCGCCAUUUAAAGUGGUACGCGAGCUGGGUUUAGAACGUCGUGAGACAGUUCGGUCCCUAUCUGCCGUGGGCGCUGGAGAACUGAGGGGGGCUGCUCCUAGUACGAGAGGACCGGAGUGGACGCAUCACUGGUGUUCGGGUUGUCAUGCCAAUGGCACUGCCCGGUAGCUAAAUGCGGAAGAGAUAAGUGCUGAAAGCAUCUAAGCACGAAACUUGCCCCGAGAUGAGUUCUCCCUGACUCCUUGAGAGUCCUGAAGGAACGUUGAAGACGACGACGUUGAUAGGCCGGGUGUGUAAGCGCAGCGAUGCGUUGAGCUAACCGGUACUAAUGAACCGUGAGGCUUAACCUUACAACGCCGAAG
rnacentral:rRNA from 1 species